rnacentral:tRNA from 1 species
GCGCCGGUGGUGUAAGGCGAACAUCGCUGCCCGGAAAGCAGAAGAUGCGGGUUCGAGUCCCGCCUUGCGCA